rnacentral:rRNA from 1 species
CCUACGGGGGGCUGCAGUGGGGAAUAUUGGACAAUGGGCGAAAGCCUGAUCCAGCCAUGCCGCGUGUGUGAAGAAGGCCUUCGGGUUGUAAAGCACUUUCAGUGGGGAAGAAAGCCUUGGGGCUAAUACCCUCGAGGAAGGACAUCACCCACAGAAGAAGCACCGGCUAACUCCGUGCCAGCAGCCGCGGUAAUACGGAGGGUGCGAGCGUUAAUCGGAAUUACUGGGCGUAAAGCGCGCGUAGGCGGUCUGAUAAGCCGGUUGUGAAAGCCCCGGGCUCAACCUGGGAACGGCAUCCGGAACUGUCAGGCUAGAGUGCAGGAGAGGAAGGUAGAAUUCCCGGUGUAGCGGUGAAAUGCGUAGAGAUCGGGAGGAAUAACAGUGGCGAAGGCGGCCUUCUGGACUGACACUGACGCUGAGGUGCGAAAGCGUGGGUAGCAAACAGGAUUAGAUACCCGGGUAGUC